rnacentral:rRNA from 1 species
AAUAGAUACCCAGGUAGUCCACGCCGUAAACGAUGAAUGCUAGCCGUCGGUCAGCAUGCUGUUCGGUGGCGCAGCUAACGCAUUAAGUACCCCGCCUGGGGAGUACGACCGCAAGGUUGAAACUCAAAGGAAUUGACGGGGGCCCGCACAAGCGGUGGAGCAUGUGGUUUAAUUCGACGCAACGCGAAGAACCUUACCUGGGCUUGACAUGCAUGGGAAAGCCUCUGGAAACAGAGGCCCCUCUUCGGAGCUCAUGCACAGGUGCUGCAUGGCUGUCGUCAGCUCGUGUCGUGAGAUGUUGGGUUAAGUCCCGCAACGAGCGCAACCCUUGCCCUUUGUUACCAGCGAGUAAAGUCGGGGACUCUAGGGGACUGCCGGUGCCAAACCGGAGGGAGUGGGGACGACGUCAAGUCAUCAUGGUCCUUACGUCCAGGGCUACACACGUGCUACAAUGGCCGGUACAGAGGGCUGCGAAAGAGCAAUCUGGAGCCAAUCCCCAAAGCCGGCCUCAGUUCGGAUUGUCGU